AUGGGGGAUAGAGGCGCGGCAUUUAAGAGUACCAUUGUGGAGGUAAGCACCAUGAAGCAGUGGGAAAGGAAAUGUCGCCGAAGUGUACAACUGAUGCUUUAAGGUUGUAUGCUGGUUCUAUGCAAAAUAUGUAUAGAACUGUCACAAAUUUUUAUUUGUGGAGAGCUAUCAUUCAA
rnacentral:ncRNA from 2 species